CUGCCAGCAGUCUGGCAAUGUAGGGAACCAGCGGCAGGUUGAGGAUAAGAAGGAUGAUGUUGCCGAAGUACAUCGAAAAAAUCACCGACCAGAAAACUUCAGGACGAUCCUGCAUAAGAAGCGGGC
rnacentral:ncRNA from 1 species